UGGGGAAUUUUGGACAAUGGACGCAAGUCUGAUCCAGCCAUGCCGCGUGCGGGAAGAAGGCCUUCGGGUUGUAAACCGCUUUUGUCAGGGAAGAAACGAGUUUCUCUAAUACAGAGACUUAAUGACGGUACCUGAAGAAUAAGCACCGGCUAACUACGUGCCAGCAGCCGCGGUAAUACGUAGGGUGCGAGCGUUAAUCGGAAUUACUGGGCGUAAAGCGUGCGCAGGCGGUCAUGUAAGACAGAUGGGAAAUCCCCGGGCUCACCCUGGGACCUGCAUUUGUGACUGUAUAGCUUGAGUACGGUAGAGGGGGGUGGAACUCCGCGUGUAGCAGUGAAAUGCGUAGAUAUGCGGAGGAACACCGGUGGCGAAGGCAGUCCACUGGACCUGUACUGACGCUCAGGCACGAAAGCGUGGGGAGCAAACA
rnacentral:rRNA from 1 species